UACGGGGGGGGCAAGCGUUGUUCGGAAUUACUGGGCGUAAAGGGCUCGUAGGUGGCCAACUAAGUCAGACGUGAAAUCCCUCGGCUUAACCGGGGAACUGCGUCUGAUACUGGAUGGCUUGAGUUCGGGAGAGGGAUGCGGAAUUCCAGGUGUAGCGGUGAAAUGCGUAGAUAUCUGGAGGAACACCGGUGGCGAAGGCGGCAUCCUGGACCGACACUGACGCUGAGACGCGAAAGCGUGGGGAGCAAACAGG
rnacentral:rRNA from 1 species